rnacentral:rRNA from 1 species
UACGGGGGGGGCAAGCGUUGUUCGGAAUUAUUGGGCGUAAAGAGCUCGUAGGCGGCUUGUCGCGUCGACUGUGAAAACCCGCGGCUCAACCGCGGGCCUGCAGCCGAUACGGGCAGGCUAGAGUUCGGUAGGGGAGACUGGAAUUCCUGGUGUAGCGGUGAAAUGCGUAGAUAUCGGGAGGAACACCAGUGGCGAAGGCGACUACCUGGCCUGUUCUUGACGCUGAGGCGCGAAAGCUAGGGGAGCAAACGGG